GCUUACGGCCAUACCACCAGUAGGCACGCCCGAUCUCGUCUGAUCUCGGAAGCUAAGCAGGGUCGGGCCUGGUUAGUA
rnacentral:rRNA from 10 species